AUCCAGCUGACGUAUCUCAAAUAGGAUAAAAUGCGCAUCCGGGAU
rnacentral:hammerhead_ribozyme from 1 species